GAUGAAGAACGCAGCGAAAUGCGAUACUUGGUGUGAAUUGCAGAAUCCCGUGAACCAUCGAGUCUUUGAACGCAAGUUGCGCCCGAAGCCAUCAGGUUGAGGGCACGUCUGCCUGGGCGUCACAUAUCGUUGCCCAAUGCCUAUUGCAGUGCAAUAGGAAUUUCUAGGGCGAAUGAUGGCUUCCCGUGAGCGUUGUUGCCUCGCGGUUGGUUGAAAAUCGAGUCCUUGGUAGGGUGUGCCAUGGUAGAUGGUGGUCGAGUUAGAACGAUACCGAUCAUGUGCAUGCUCCCCAAAAUAUGGCCUCUAUGACCCACACGCGUCUUUUGACGCUCAUGACGAGACCUCAGGUCAGGCGGGGCUACCCGCUGAAUUUAAGCAUAUCAAUAAGCGGUGGA
rnacentral:misc_RNA from 1 species